rnacentral:lncRNA from 1 species
UGUGGGGAGCCAGUGCAAAGCAAUGCUAUACUUGGCAACCAGCUCAAACAAAGAAGUGAAGCUGAGAUAACCAGGCACAGGUGACAGCAAUCCACUUCAUCAGUGGGUGAAGAUAUAAACUGAGCUCUUCCCAAGUGAUGGUAACCACUAUCUCAAAAGAAAGACUAACACAAAAGUCUCUAUUCUUUCCUAAACACUGACUGAACCCAACCUGGCUAUGCCAAGCUUCUCACCAUCCGCAGAUACCACAACUCGCCAAACACUAAUUCAACUCACACCAGUGGAUGAAAGGCAAAGAGCACUACCUUAUAGAACAGCUGACCAAGAGAGGCUCGUCACCAGUCAAAAGUGGAUAGAGCAGGAGCUUAUACAUCUACAGAAGCUGUGGCUAAUAUUCCCCUUCCAAGACCCCUGCAGCCCAGCCCUCAGAUACUGACUAAGCUCAUGGAGCAUGAUGUUGUAGAGGCAUUCAUCCUUAGUGGUUGAGGUAACGGAUGCCAUAGACAUUGGAGAGAGGGCUCCUUUUCUCCAAAAGUAUUCCAUGGACUAGCAACCUGCCGAGGGUACCUCCUGAGUAGAUCACCAGUCUGCACUCCAGGAUGAGCCAAUGCCCACAGACUCCAUCAUAUUGGACAUACAAGCCUGGUUUGCACGGCGUGUGUUCCAUCAAGCAACCCUGGCUAAUGUUCCAAUCCAAAGUCAAACUCAAUGGCAAAAGGUAAAAGCAAUGUUGGACUCCCUCUAUCAUGCUGGCAUCCUGAUGUAAAAAAAAAACAAACAAAAAAAACACUGAAGCUCCUAUCCCACCUCCCUACUCUUCUUUGACUCUACGCUUGAGCUGUAAUUACUCACAGGAGAUGCUAUAUUUAAGCCUCUGGAGCUAUGGAUAUGUGGCAUCCCGCUCUCAUUGCUCCCUUAGUUGUUUACGUUUUGUUGUAUAACGAGUGAUUAUUAAAGAACUGGUACAUAAGACAUUUGUUGUCACUUGUUAAGUGAACUAUUUUCCAAUUGUGAUUUACUUUAAGUUCAGCUCUUAUUUCUUCCUGACCAUUGUUUAAUCGGAACAUGAUAGGGAGGUGAGAAAUUUGUUUUCUCCUGGAUAUGUUAGUAGGGAGAGAAGCGUUUUGUAUUUCUUUUAUAAUCUGAUUUCUAGGUAAGGUUUCCAGGUUUUUGUGAAAAUUGGUUAGUUUUGUUUUGUUACUUCAUCUUGGAAUUAUAAGGUUCUAUCUGACAUUUUUGUCAAUUUAGUUAUUCACAUAUUCCUAUUCUGUGACAACUUGUUUACAUUAUGUGAUGUUUCUUUUUUAAGUUGUGUACAUUUUUGGGACUUUUUUUUUUUAGAAAACAAAAAGGUUCUAUCUACAAAGUUGAACUGUAACUUGGUUCUAUCUGCGUAAGCCAAUCAGCACUUUGAAUGCACACACGAGGACCAAUCAGGAUCAGCUUUCUUUGUCAUGUCACCGGACUGCGCCGCGAUAGUGGAACAGAGCGCAGAAAAACGCUCUUACAGUUUUGCUGUAACUGUUGUAAGAGCGUUUUUUACAGUUUUGCUGUAGCUAUUGCCAAGUUAUUUUUAGUUAGACACCACGCUAGCAAGCAGCGCUAUUAAGAGGAUAGGUCCGGGUUUUGUAGUCUAUUUGCUUUAUUCCAGUCACGUCAUUGUCAUACGAGGGAAAGUUAUGUAUAUAUUAGGUUAUGUUUUAACCUUGAUCCAUCCUGUGUACUUGUACUGAGCUGUAUGUACUAUGUCGCUAUAAAGCUGUACGCUAUGGCACACUGGAUUAAAGUGUAUACUACAUUAAGUGAGAUGAAAUGUUAAAUUUUACAUUGUUGGUAAAAACUGAGUUGUUGCAGAGUUGAAGUAAUUUCAAUAUUUAAAUGUAAAAUAUUGACACUAUAUAUAUGUGUGUGUGUGUUUAUUAACUUUUGUUAAACA